UACGAACCGUACAAACGUUAUUCGGAAUCACUGGGCUUAAAGGGUGCGUAGGCGGCCAUGUAAGUGAGGUGUGAAAUCCCUCGGCUCAACCGAGGAACUGCGCUUCAUACUGCAUGGCUUGAGGGAGACAGGGGUAAGCGGAACUGAUGGUGGAGCGGUGAAAAUGCAUAGAUACCUUCUAGAACCCCGAUUGCGUAGGCAGCUGACUAGGCUACACCUGACACUGAGGCACGAAAAGCGUGGGGAGCGAACAGG
rnacentral:rRNA from 1 species